rnacentral:rRNA from 1 species
UUAACCGGAUUAGAUACCCUGGUAGUCCACGCCGUAAACGAUGUCGACUUGGAGGUUGUGCCCUUGAGGCGUGGCUUCCGGAGCUAACGCGUUAAGUCGACCGCCUGGGGAGUACGGCCGCAAGGUUAAAACUCAAAUGAAUUGACGGGGGCCCGCACAAGCGGUGGAGCAUGUGGUUUAAUUCGAUGCAACGCGAAGAACCUUACCUGGUCUUGACGUCCACGGAAGUUUUCAGAGAUGAGAAUGUGCCUUCGGGAACCGUGAGACAGGUGCUGCAUGGCUGUCGUCAGCUCGUGUUGUGAAAUGUUGGGUUAAGUCCCGCAACGAGCGCAACCCUUAUCCUUUGUUGCCAGCGGUCCGGCCGGGAACUCUAGGGGGACUGCCGGUGAUAAGCCGCGAGGAAGGUGGGGAUGACGU